GACGAACGCUGGCGGCGUGCUUAACACAUGCAAGUCGAGCGGUAAGGCCCUUUCGGGGGUACACGAGCGGCGAACGGGUGAGUAACACGUGGGUGACCUGCCCUCAGCUCUGGGAUAAGCCCGGGAAACUGGGUCUAAUACCGGAUAUGACUCCAUGACGCAUGUUGUGGGGUGGAAAGUCUUGUGCGGCUGAGGAUGGGCCCGCGGCCUAUCAGCUUGUUGGUGGGGUGAUGGCCUACCAAGGCGACGACGGGUAGCCGGCCUGAGAGGGCGACCGGCCACACUGGGACUGAGACACGGCCCGGACUCCUACGGGAGGCAGCAGUGGGGAAUCUUGCGCAAUGGGCGAAAGCCUGACGCAGCGACGCCGCGUGAGGGAUGACGGCCU
rnacentral:rRNA from 1 species